AUUGAACGCUGGCGGCAUGCCUUACACAUGCAAGUCGAACGGUAACAGGUCUUCGGAUGCUGACGAGUGGCGAACGGGUGAGUAAUACAUCGGAACGUGCCUAGUAGUGGGGGAUAACUACUCGAAAGAGUGGCUAAUACCGCAUGAGAUCUACGGAUGAAAGCAGGGGAUCGCAAGACCUUGUGCUACUAGAGCGGCCGAUGGCAGAUUAGGUAGUUGGCGGGAUAAAAGCUUACCAAGCCGACGAUCUGUAGCUGGUCUGAGAGGACGAUCAGCCACACUGGGACUGAGACACGGCCCAGACUCCUACGGGAGGCAGCAGUGGGGAAUUUUGGACAAUGGGCGCAAGCCUGAUCCAGCAAUGCCGUGUGCAGGAUGAAGGCCUUCGGGUUGUAAACUGCUUUUGUACGGAACGAAAAGCCCUGGGUUAAUACCCUGGGGUCAUGACGGUACCGUAAGAAUAAGCACCGGCUAACUACGUGCCAGCAGCCGCAGUAAGAC
rnacentral:rRNA from 1 species